AUUUUGACCCUUGUGCAGGCCUAAUACAUGCAAGUCGAGGGGUAAUCCCGAUUUAUCGGGAACGACCGGCGCACGGGUGCGUAACGCGUAUGCAACCUACCUAAUACUAGUGGAUAGCCCGGAGAAAUUUGGAUUAAUACACUAUGGUAUCAUAAAGCUGCAUAGUUUAAUGAUUAAAGAUUUAUUGGUAUUAGAUGGGCAUGCGUCUGAUUAGCUUGAUGGCGGUGUAACGGACCACCAUGGCAAUGAUCAGUAGGGGGCCUGAGAGGGUGAUCCCCCACACUGGCACUGAGAUACGGGCCAGACCCCUACGGGAGGCAGCAGUAGGGAAUAUUGGUCAAUGGGCGCAAGCCUGAACCAGCCAUGCCGCGUGCAGGAUGACGGCCUUCUGGGUUGUAAACUGCUUUUAUCAGGGAAGAAAAAGGUCUUGCGAGACCAAUUGCCGGUACCUGAAGAAUAAGCACCGGCUAACUCCGUGCCAGCAGCCGCGGUAAUACGGAGGGUGCAAGCGUUGUCCGGAUUUAUUGGGUUUAAAGGGUGCGUAGGCGGUUAAUUAAGUCAGUGGUGAAAGGUAGCAGCUUAACUGUUAAAUUGCCAUUGAUACUGGUUAACUGGAGUGCGGUUGAGGUAGGCGGAAUUUAUGGUGUAGCGGUGAAAUGCAUAGAUACCAUAAAGAACACCGAUAGUGAAGACAGCUUACCAAGCCGUAACUGACGCUGAGGCACGAAAGCAUGGGUAGCGAACAGGAUUAGAUACCCUGGUAGUCCAUGCCGUAAACGAUGAUUACUCGCUGUUGGCGAUAGACAGUCAGUGGCUAAGCGAAAGCGAUAAGUAAUCCACCUGGGGAGUACGCUCGCAAGAGUGAAACUCAAAGGAAUUGACG
rnacentral:rRNA from 1 species